rnacentral:rRNA from 1 species
CGGCGACGGGUUGAAGUACACGUUGGGAACGUACCCUUUGGUUCGGAAUAACGCUGGGAAACUAGCGCUAAUACCGGAUACGCCCUUUUGGGGAAAGGCUUGCUGCCGAAGGAUCGGCCCGCGUCUGAUUAGCUAGUUGGUGGGGUAAUGGCCUACCAAGGCGACGAUCAGUAGCUGGUCUGAGAGGAUGAUCAGCCACACUGGGACUGAGACACGGCCCAGACUCCUACGGGAGGCAGCAGUGGGGAAUAUUGGACAAUGGGCGCAAGCCUGAUCCAGCCAUGCCGCGUGAGUGAUGAAGGCCUUAGGGUUGUAAAGCUCUUUUGUCCGGGACGAUAAUGACGGUACCGGAAGAAUAAGCCCCGGCUAACUUCGUGCCAGCAGCCGCGGUAAUACGAAGGGGGCUAGCGUUGCUCGGAAUCACUGGGCGUAAAGGGCGCGUAGGCGGCCAUUCAAGUCGGGGGUGAAAGCCUGUGGCUCAACCACAA